rnacentral:lncRNA from 1 species
AAAUAAUAACUCAAAAUGUUGAGUUUUAACGCCCUGACAACAGAUUUUCAUUAAUUUCUGAAAGACCGAGAAGGUUUUCCACCAACAAAAGUUUGAGCUUGAUAAAUCUCUUCAAAUUCUCUUUAACAGGAGGUAAAUGAAUGAUUUAAUUCUUAUAAUUUCACAUUAUGUGAAGCACGACAACUUGAACUCCUGUGGCUGUAGCAGUGUUGGACGGGCCUCCCCUUGUCUUUAAUAUUCGUUGCACUAAAUCUAAAAUCCAAUCGUUAUAAUGAAAGUAAUAAAUUUGAGUGAGUGUGCAUCCUGGUGUCCUACACGCUCCCUUGGGCGGUGUUGGGUGGGGAUUGUUCUGGUGGUGGGAUAAUAUUGUAAAGGACACAUCUCCAUUAAUCCUUAGGGAGUGUACAUGGAUCCGCUGUACCCUUGCAGUCAAUCAAGGGGUGCGUCUUAAUUGGCGGAAUCUCAGUACAUACAUGCUCGCUACAGUAACAAUACAUGUAGCUCUAAAAAUCUUACUGGUAUGACGGGGAGCCAGUUCUUUUAAAGGGAAAAUUCACAAAGAAAUAAAAAUUUGAUAUUAUGUUCAUCCUUAAUAAAUAAGCAUAAUCCAAAAAUAUUAAAGGUUUAUUCAUCUAGAUAAGUGAGUUAAUCGAUUUUUAAAACCAACUAUCAAUAAAAUUUUUUAUCGAUUAUUGAAUUUAUUGUUUCGUUGUAUUGUCAGUAUGCUGUCAGAAGUCCUGGAGCGAAAGCACAGGCCGAAUUCUCUCUACCAGUAACGUAAACGGCUGAGCUAGCGGGGUAUAAUGUAAUGAGACAGAUUAUGAAUGGAAAAUACGUUUACACACGAAAACCCAUUAACAUGAUUAAGUUGCAAUUUUAGACUUUGAAAUUUUAAAUUAUAUACAAUACAAUGCACAUUUUCAACUGUUUAAAGACAACCGUGUCUUGUCCUUUAAAUUGUCUUACUAUGUUGUCAAAUCGCGGACGAUUUGUUUUUCUGGGUAGGGGGUAUUGUAACGUUUGUGGCCGGGUCAUCGUAAAUUCCCCUUUUUCUAUUUUUAGAUACUAUAUAUAACUAUAGUUGUCCAGUCACUUUUUUCGCGGGGAUCGUUUAUCUCCUGCUUGAACUCAAUGUCCAGACUUGGAUAUUUAAACCUCGUCAGGGCAGUAUUUUUUUAGAUUGGGGAAAACUUUCGUACUGGUAAGUUGUACUUUAAAAUUUCAUUUUAUUUUGUAUUUUGAUGUUUGACUUAAAAUAUCUAUUUCUUCUCAUUUGAUAUAUUUCUUUUCGGUCUUGUAGUCAAACAGUUCUAAAAUAUUAAAUUACGUUUCCGUUCCAGAAAAAAUAGGGGGAAUUGUACACGAGCUAGAGAUUUUAUGAUUUCGGGUUUAUAAAGAGAUGGAGUUCAUUUUGAUAGCAAUAUUUAAACAGAUGGCUAAUCCGAGGGGUAUUUUGGAGUAACGGUCGUCAAUCUACGGAAUUGUUCGUGCCUUACUCUGACAUAGAAUUUUGUAUUAUCGCAUGUUUUGGUUUUGGAUCUUGAACUGGUCAAUGAUAUUGAAAAACGUUUUCAGACAUUGCUCUGGUUGGAUUGAAAAUUAAACAGGUAUAGAGAAAUGCGAUGUUUUUUUUUACUAUCUACGGAAUUGUUCGUGCCUUACUCUGACAUAGAAUUUUGUAUUAUUGCAUGUUUUGGUUUUGAAUCUUGAACUGGUCAAUGAUAUUGAAAAACAUUUUCAGACAUUGCUCUGGUUGGAUUGAAAAUUAAACAGGUAUAGAGAAAUGCGAUGUUUUUUUUUACUGGAUCGAUUUUUGUUCCCUAGUCAUAGAAUAAUGAGGUUCAUGAUCUAGUCUAACAAAGUCGGUGGGAACCAGUGGGUAUAUUUUUUUUUGUCUCGGAAGGUUGACGUCACAACUUGAUUGAUUGGAUAAUAUUUUAGUUAAAGACGACUAGUGUACAGCUCUCAAUAUUUUAAGAAAACGGACACCUCAAAUUUCUAGUAUCAUAUUAUUUUAUUCCAUUAGAUAGCACUAAGGCCAAACGCUUCUUUGAAUUGGUAAACUUGUAAUGGGUAUUUUUCACCGCAUCGUUUGUUCAAAAAAAAGGGGAAGUUCGACAAUGUAUUGAAAUUCUGAAAUAUUUUCAUAUUUAUGUAUUUAUAUUGUCUUUGUCUAUUAAAUAUGAAACUGUUUUAUGAAUUUUGGUCAUUUGUUAUAUGAGCAAAUACAUUGCUUGGCAAAUUGUCAUCACUGUCAUAUUUUAGGUUUCAUAUUAUACCUGUCACUUAUUGAAUUUAUUGUUUCGUUGUAUUGUCAGUAUGCUGUCAGAAGUCCUGGAGCGAAAGCACAGGCCGAACCCUCUCUACCAGUAACGUAAACGGCUGAGCUAGCGGGGUAUAAUGUAAUGAGACAGAUUAUGAAUGGAAAAUAUGUUUACACACAAAAACCCAUUUACGUUGCACAGCUAAUCGCUAUUUAUUCCAUUCCGGAUAAGUUCUAAAAUUACACAACCUUUUCAUCCAGUUGAAGCUAUCUGGGACCCUGUUUAAACAAUUCACCAUGCAUGAUACUUUUUAAUGAGACCUGUUUAAACUACCGUACAGGGACGUAGCUAGAAGAAAACGAUGUGCAAGCAACUACCGCUGAGCGGAGCGAGUCGAAAAAAUUUUGGGACCCUUUAAUGCAGAAAAAUGUUUUUUUUUUCGGUUUUCAGUCAUAGGACGGUUUAAAGAGGAGCUACAUGUAGAUAGGACUUAUAAACAAUUUAUGAAUGUAAAACUUUCAAUACUUGAAUCUUAUGAAUAGAGUAAAUCAUGGUUAAUUUAAUACAUAAACAACACAUUUUUGAAUUACAGAAUUUACUCAAAAUUGACCAAAAUCUGCUCUUCGCGUCUAUAAAGCAGAAACGAACUUCUCUAUUACUUUGUCAACAUUCACACUGAUGGGACAAGUAGAAUCAUUCUGCAGAAAAUAAAUUUUAAUCCAACUUUGAUGAACAAAGUAUGAUUAUUAAAAAAAAAAAAAAAACAAGAAAAGAAGAUUUGUUUGAAUCUUUCCAAAUUUAAACUGAAACUAAUUGAAACUUUUUAUUUCUAAAGACCCCCUCAGACUUGCAAUCGAUAAUUUAAAACUGGUUCUUUGUCAGUACUUUUAACAGGUAAAAAGCACACUUUUCUCGGAAACCAGUCUUACCAUCCCAUUCAACCAUGCGCUUUUAAGAUAAGGUAACUUAACAAGACAGUUCCUCACCAGCUCAGAAAUGAUUCGGCUCCAAGUUUAAUAGACAGUUGGGCACCAUAAGAGACAUGAUUAAUAGACAGUUUGGCAAAGCAGUAGACAUUUCUGGACCAAGACAAAUCAGAACCUCUUUUCCUACCUUAUUUUGUUGCUUUAUAAUAAUUAAUACCAAUGUCCAUACCCUAUUUUUUAAAUAAGAAUGAGGAAAUUAUUUACCAUAAAAAUCAUCAAAUCAUGUUUUUUUUUUAUGUAGAAAAAACAGUACUUGCAAUGCAGUGACCUAUAGUUGUUAAUUUCUGUGUCAUUUGGUCUUUUGUCUCAUUGACAAUCAUACCUCAUAUUCUUUUUAUUGAUUGCAUUUGAAUAAACUUUUUUCAACUUAAAAAAAAAUAGGAUAAAAAUCCAAUGAGUGUACAUUUAGAGGCCAAUCAGAUGGUGCCUCAUGUGCAAAGUAUGAUGAGACUUAAGCAUUGAUAAAAACUAGACCUAAGUCCUGUGACACAACUUAAUUCAGUUGUUCAUGGCUCAUAUCUUUUAAAAGUAUUUCAAAGGAUAUAAAUCAAAUUCUGUUCAUUUUUUUUAAUUCAUUUUGUUCCUUGAAUCAACUUGAAAUGCAAAAAAGGUUAUUAUUAAGAUUUUUUUUGGACAAGUUACAAUUUCAUGCGGACAAGUAAGUUUUGGUAUGUACUUGUCCUACUGGACAAGUUGAAAAAAGGUUAUUGUAGAGGCCUGCUCAAUUAUGAAGGUACGUCAUGUAUUUCAUUAUUCAAGCAUCUGCUAUGAACACAGAGUAAAGUAUUUUAUACUGCAAAUAGUUGUGUUUAUUUCCUAAAUAUAGUAACACAGCUAUAUUUUGUGCAAUGUCAAUUUCAUAAUGGAACACUUUUUCCACAGUCAGGGGUUCAUUAAGGGAUGAAAACAAGUUUGAAAUUUGUGUUAUAAUUUAAAUAGCAAUGAAUUUAUUUAUUUAAGUUGCAGUAUAAAACAAUAUUAGGUCAAUGUCAGAAAAAUAACAUUUUUAUUUUACUCGGCGCAAAACUUGGGAAGGGCUCAGUAGAACCUCACCCUUUCCCAGUUUCUCAGCCUCAUACAGAAAGGUUGUUAAUUUUCUGACAUUGAGCUAAUAUUGUAUAUGAAUUCUCAUUUGCAUUGUUAAUGAAUAAUGAAUAACUUGGAGUCAAAAUAAAAGGAUGGCAUUUCAGGAUAGAUAUUGUGGAUACAAUGUAUAUGUAUAAAAAAAUUAUAAUAGCUUUCUUUCUUCAUUUCAUUAUUUUUUGAACAGGCUAAAUUGUCACAAUGGUAAAGAUACAGUGGAAACUUUUAGAGUUGCCAUGGAGACUAAAGGCCUCAGCCAUACAGUCUUUCCAAUGGCUACGAUUGUUAAGGCAGACAUUAUUUUACAACCAUUUUACCUCAACAACAGUCAUCAUGGAAACUGCAGCAGAGCCUAUGUUUUGGACUGUUGAUAGAUUUGCAAAAUACUUAGGACCAGUA